GGUCUAUUCCGCCGGAUAUGGGCAUCACUCUUCCCCUUCUUGAAGCACUAAACAUCAACGACAACCAGUUUUACGGGCCUCUUCCAAUUUCACUGUCGAAUGCUACCAACCUCUUCAACAUUCAACUAUACAAGAACAGAUUCACAGGCACCAUACCCAGAGGUUUGGGAUCCUUACAGAAGGUAGAUCACUUUGAUCUUUGUUAUAAUCAGCUAGAAGCAAGUAAUGCUGUCGAAUGGGGCUUCCUGGAUGAUUUAGCCAACUGUAGCAGCCUGAAAUAUUUGCAAAUAACAAGCAACAAGCUCGGAGGCUUCCUGCCACGAUCGAUCGUCAAUUUUUCUACAACCCUGGAAUGGUUUGAAAUCGACGACAACAACAUAGCUGGGAGCAUUCCGGCAGAGAUCGGCAACCUGGUUUCUUUGACCUCGGUUCGGAUGAACUCGAACCUUUUCACUGGUAAAAUCCCUGCAACAGUGGGAAACCUUUCGAAUUUACAUAUAAUGGACUUGAGUAGGAACUGCUUCACAGGAGAAAUCCCAGCAACCCUUGGCAAUCUAACUCGGCUAUUCGAACUCCGCCUGCAUUCGAAUCAACUGCAAGGACCCUUACCUCCGAGUCUUGGAAACUGCCCUCUGAAUCUCUUGGAUCUUUCAGUCAACAAGUUAAAUGGCACAGUGCCGAAAGAAAUUAUGGCCAUCCCCACCCUCACCAGGUUACUUAAUGUAUCUUACAAUUCAUUGGAAGGAUCUCUGCCAUUUGAAGUUGGAAAACUAAAAAAUAUUGGUGAAUUCGACAUCUCUGGCAACAGACUAUCAGGUACAAUUCCAAGAACCCUUGGUGACUGUCAACAACUCGAUAGUCUUGACAUGGCAGGGAAUUCAUUCCAGGGAUCAAUCCCUUCGUCAUUUAGCCAGCUGAAGGGGCUCCAAUCGCUGGAUCUUUCAAGAAACAACUUGUCCGGGCUCAUACCAGAAUUUCUUGGGAAUUUUAAGUUCUUGAGCAAUCUGAAUCUCUCAUUCAACAAUUUUGAGGGUGAGCUUCCAAAACAUGGCAUCUUCACAAACCUCAGUGCGUUCUCUGUGCUUGGAAAUAGUAAGCUUUGUGGGGGUGUCCAAGCUCUGAACCUGCCUCCCUGCCCCACCCGGUCAUCACAUUUAUCCCGGAAGCUGGUAGCCGCGAUCUCAGUUGCCGGGGGAAUAAUAUGCCUAAUAUUUCUCCUCGCUUUGUUUGGCAUUCAUCGUUGGAUACGUAAGUCGAAGAAGGAGCCUCGUGCCGCAGACGACAGAAUGGUUCCACAUAUGAUGGUCACAUAUGCCGAGUUGCUAAGAGCUACAGAUGGUUUCUCUUCUGCUAAUCUCAUCGGCGUGGGAAGCUUUGGUUCGGUGUACAAAGGGUUACUCAAUUAUGAGGAAUACCAACUUGUUGCCGUCAAGGUAUUCAACCUCCAACAGAGAGGAGCUUCAGGGAGCUUCGUUGCUGAAUGCGAAGCGCUGAGAAAUGUCCGGCAUCGGAACCUCGUCAAGAUUUUAACAGCUUGCACAAGUACAGAUUACCGGGGAAAUGAUUUCAAAGCUUUGCUUUAUGAGUUCAUGCCGAAUGGGAGCCUAGAGAAGUGGGUGCAUCCAGAAGCAAACGAGCAAGGUCAGACGCGGGCGUUAAGCCUUAUCCACAGGUUAAAUAUAUUGAUCGAUGUGGCCUCCGCAUUAGAUUACCUCCACCAUCAUGGGCCAGAGCCGAUUGUCCACUGUGACAUAAAGCCAAGCAAUGUUCUUUUGGACCAUGACAUGGUGGCUCAUGUUGGAGACUUUGGAUUGGCGAGGUUCCUCAACAGAAGCCCCACUGAAGCAUCUCAAAGAUCUUCUACCUCCAUGUUAUUCAAGGGGUCCAUCGGUUACGUUGCACCAGGUACAUUGCAUUAACCAAGAGCAAAAUAUGUUAUCUUUAUAUGCCAUUACUUGCGCAGUUGUGUUCCUCAAGUUCUUCUCUUUGUACAUUUAACCUACCGAUUCAUGAUACAGAGUAUGGAGUGGCCAACAAAGUUUCGGUCGAAGGGGAUGUCUAUAGUUACGGGAUACUUCUGCUGGAAACACUCACGGGGAAGAGGCCUACUGGUGAAAGUUUCAGGGACGGUCUCAGCCUUCCUCGAUAUGUGGAGAUGGCACUCCCGGAGCGGGUCUCCGAAAUCAUCGAUCCAAACCUGCACUUCGAGAAAGGUGAAGCUGCAAAUGGUCACAUUCAAGGCACCGAUUACAUUCGAGACAAAGCAGUGGAGUGCGUGAACUUGUCGCUCAGGAUCGGCGUCAGGUGCGCCAAGGAAUCCCCACAAGAACGAAUGCAGAUGCGAGAUGUCAUCAGUGAAUUAAUUGCAAUCAGGAACGGAUGGAUCCACCACUAGAUUAUGAUCCGGAAUUUGGAAGCACAAGGGAUUGUUAGAGAGGUUGCUUGCUCGAUCCUUCUGAAUAAUAAUAAUAAUAAAAGUAGCUGUGUGGUAUUUGUUUUCUUUUGUUUUCUUUUUCCAAAUCACCUAAUUAAUAUACGGUGCUUCACAAGCUGGUCCCGUGGACUCAGUUGUAUGAUACCUUUCUUAUGUAGAGUUCAUCAUUAAACUGCAUCAAGCUACACGAUAGCCGAGUGAAAAAUCCUUUGUCAUUCUAAAUCUGUAGUGACCUCAAUUGAUGGGUGUGAAGAGAACAAACGGUCCACUUGGCGCAACAGAUUUCAAUCUAUAUGCAUAUCCACAAAAAAGAAAAACCCUAAAAAAGAUCGAACAUGAGGAAAAACGAAAGCCAACGAGAAAACUUCAGAAUUCGAAAGUUAAAAGAACAUGAGGAUCACCCUAGCAAGGACACCAAGGAAUGCCGGUCCAAAACGAAAGUUCUCUCACUUGGGACGUGCUAUAUUUCCCCACAAUAUUGUGCGAAUAAACAUAAGUUUUAAAAGAGCAUAUAUGCAAAUUUUGAUAUUUGUAAAAGACUACAUGAAAUAAAAUUAAUGAAACAAAAAAAUCAAGAUUGUCCAUCACAUGCUUUCAUGAUCCAACAUAAUAGAAUAUAGAUUGUGUAAUGCCUGAGUCUCACACAUGUUCAGCUGUAGCUACUAUGAUAAUAGAAGCACAAUAUAUAUAUAUAUAUAUGAUCCAUACUUAAUGAUAUAAUGUCUGAUAUCUAUAUUUUAUAAAUAUGAUAAAUGACAUACUUAUGUUUUAGACGUUUAAAGUUGAAAUACAUUUUUUUUUUAAUAUUAUUCUCAAUAUUUUAUGAAAUAUUAGUUGAGCAUACAAAAAAUUAAUAUUUGCUUUAUGUAUAGUUUACAAUAAAAUAACAUGAUCCUUUGGCACAACAAGCCUAAGUGUACUAACGGAUUUGAGUAUAAGAUUAAAGUUAUGAUAAUAAAUAUACAUAUAGUAAUUAGAAAUGACGGUUGAAUUUUGUAAUCGAUCCUAAGUGAAUCUUAAGGCUCGAACGAAUUUGAAUAUAAUUAAAGUAACAAAGUUUAAAUUUUAAAUCUCAUAUAUAUAUAUAUAUAUAUAUAUAUAUAUAUAUAUAUAUAUAUAUAUAUAUAUAUAUAUAUAUAAGAUAAUAAGUUACUUAAGUAUGGAUGGUGUAAUAAAAAAAUUAAAUAGAGAUACAAAUAAAAAAAGAAUAUUAUACUAAAUGUUGAGAUAUAUAAGUGAGAUCGAAGAAUGAGCAUAGAUAAAAAAAAAAAAAUAUCUUUAUUAAACUAAAUUAAACUCAAUUGAAGUUGCUGCAACAUUAGAAUUGUUUUAGUAAAAAGAAAUUUGAAAUGAGAUGUAAUGAGAUUGAAUAAUAGACAUCAAGAUACCCUCUACCUCUACCUUAUUUUAGUCAUAUCUUCUUUACUUAUAACUCAUGAUCAUUUCUCUCAUUCUUUAGCCAUUUUAUCAGCUUUAUUUAUGGAGCUCAAGAAACCCUAACUCUAAAAAAAAUUGAGGUAAGAAAAAUAUAUUUUUUUUCUUUACUAUAUUUAGGAUUUUAAUUUUAUAAAUUUCAAAUUGAUUUUUUUAGCUACUUUUGAGUAACAUAAAAUUUGAAUUUAUCUUUAAUUUUUGGAUAUAUUUUAUAUGAAUAUCUUAUGAUUCUAAAACCUUUAGUGUAUUUGUGCAUGGAGGUAUGAGUAUCCUAAUAUGAGAUACUAUUCAAGCUAAAUUGGCUCCUCAAGGAUAUGAUUAGGUUUUGAGCUUCUGAUAUAUUUUAAAAUAUUCCUUUAAGGUUAUAUAAGAUUUGAAAUUGAGUGAGUACAACUUCUAUGCACUAGGAUAUGAGAUUUAUAAGUUCAAAUAGUCCUAACUCUAUUUCAGCAGAAUAGAAUAGGUGUUGGUAAUAAAUUAAGAGGAUAGUUUAACCUUCAAAUAAUUUUAUUUUAAGCUAAAAUUUGAUGUAUAUUUAGUUUUAUGUCUCUUAGUUUUCUAUAAAAUUUUAUGAUAAUUUAAGAUUAGAAUAGUGAAGUAAAACUUUUUCACAUAAUUGUCUGAUGGUUUGAUUGAUACUAACUAAUUCAUUUGAUUAUAGAGUAACUAUUAAAAAAUUAAUGGUGAAAUCUAGAUGUAUUUUUAGGUUAAGUAUAGUUUAUUUUAUAAAAUAUUUUAUCAAACUAUUUUCAUAAAUUAUUAUAGUGAAUUAUUAUAAAUCAAUAGUUCAAGAGAUAAAGUUCUUAAUUAAGACAUCUUAUGAUUAUGUGCUUCCACUUUGAUAAGUGUAUUACUCUUUAAUAGACUCGAUCGAUAAAAAAUAUGAUCUUUCAUUAACAUCUUUAUUUUUGAGUUGAAUCGAGUAAAUAUAAGUUUAAUUUACUAUAAAAUAAUAAUUAUAUAAAUUAUAAUAUUUAUAGUAUAUUUUGAAAAGCAUAUUUUGGAAUGAUAUAAUUGUCAUGGGAUAAGUAUGAGCUAUAUAUAUAUAUAUAUAAUGAUGAAAAUAUAUUGUAUACAUGCAUAUAUGAUGAUAUCUGGUGUGGGAGUAUAUGUAUUUUCUUUGACGUGCGGUAUAUGAGUGCAUGAAUAUCCUACAAUAUAGAAGUACACUUAUAUAUUAGUGAUGUGAGAGUGCAUAUAUAUGUUAUGUUAUAGAGUAUAAAAAUCCAUAAAUUUAUAAUAUUUACUACAUGUGUAUAUAAAUAUUUUAAAUUAUUUUGAUAUAGAAUUUUAACUCUUUAUUUUCAUAUAUUAUAUUGUAGGACUAUGCUUGCUAAAGAAGUCAUAGGAUUUAAUACAAUAUACAUGAUAUUAUAUAUGCUCACAUAAAUAAAGCUAUAAAGGAUUAUACUUACUAAAUCAUUACUCACUAUAGAUCAUAUUUUUUAGGUAAGAAUAUUAAUACCUCACCCAAGUGAUUGGAUAGGGAGUGAGCAUAUGUAAGUCUAUAACAAUGCAUAUAUAGACGAUGAGCUAAAAAUAUUUUAUGUAUAUAAAUUUUGGAUAUAUUAUAUUUAUGAUUUCUUUUGAUUAGAUGUUUAAUUAUAUAUUGGUGUAAAAAAUACUGUGUAUAUAGAGAAAAACCUAUUAUUUUGUUUAGUAAGUUAGUAAAUUUUAAUUUUUAAUAUUUCGUUUAGUAAGUUAGUAAGUCUAAAUUUUUAAGAUUACGGACUUUUCAUUGUAUUCCUAUUGAUAACAAUAAUAAAAAUAGAAAUAUAAUAUUUUAUUUUAAUCAUACAUGUAGAAUAUAUGAGUGGAACCACAAGCAAAAUGUUAGAGCUUGGAUCACUUAAGUUGAGAUAUCACAGUAGUGCACGUGAGGUGAUAAUAGUGCAUGUGAGGCUUCUAAUACUAUUUGUUGCCGUCCAUCCUAAUAUAAUAAUUGACCUAUUAAUUUAUUAAGAUUAGAUCAAUAAUUUAAAAUAUAUAAACCAAAUUUAAUAGUAUACACAUAUCAAACCUUGAUAGAUUAAAUUAAGUUUGUUUCGAAACUAAACCGUGGUAUUGCACAAAAUCAUAUAUAAUUAAAGGUUGCUCGAAGCAUUUGAUCAACAUUUGGCCACGCCUAUAAACAUCACUAUUAACAUUUCCUCGGUACACCUACAAUGAUUUUAAUUUUACAUCUAUAUAUCGCUUGUAAUUUGACCAAAAUAAUCCUGUAACAAAUAUAAUAAAUACUCUUGAUUCAAAUUGUAGCGAUAAGAGAAAUAACUAUCUUCGAGAUCGAUGCCAAAAGUAAAUUUGUUCAUAAAAUAUUUCCGGAGUUUAUGCAGCAACUUCCGAGAUGGUAUGGAACGUAUCAAAUUCACUUGCUCAAUCAAAUAAAAUAAUCGGCGUGGUGACGUCCGAAGAACAUAAAGAGAAGAUCCAGCAGCAGCAGCAAUAUGAACUUGCGCUGUUCGUGAUACACAGUUCACACGCUCAUGUGAAACGCAGAACAAACCCCGAUUGCCAACUUUGACGGACGACGGCUACGAUCUUAAGUAGCCUUACUUGUUUGACCGAAAUCGAUCACAGAAUCAACAAGAAAAGGAUAUAAAAUCAUUAGCAAGGCCAUGUUCGAUGGUCCCGUCGUCUACUAACUUUGAGAAACAGUGGGCUUUUUGUUCUUAUUGACGUUAGCUGUUCAACGAUUCAUUGAGAGUUCGGUGAAAGGAAACACUUUUCGGUCUCAAUUCAUCGGCAACAUAUAGUUUAGUGAUAACAUACACCAUGAUUCAAUUGCUAAGGAGAUAUCACCAUUGGAGUGACGACGGACUCCGUACAGCAAAGGCAAAGCGAUCGAAAGUUGAGGGCGACGGCGACAUAAUGGGGAAAGAGGUCCAUGGAUCGGUAGUUGGAAGUCAAAUGGCUGCUACCACUGCAAUGUAUACCCAUGCAUCGUCAUCGUCGAGCUGUUCUUGUCUUCAUCUGUGGCAAUCAUCUUAUCUUUCCAGAAACAGGAAACUAAUAAACUUGUCAUGUUUGCUGUCCGAGCGCAUCUUUUUCAUCUUUUCAGGGAAAAAAAAAUCUCGUGUUGCUGCAACACGCAGAAAGUUCUGCUGCCAUUUUUUAUUUUUUUUCUGGGACGCGAGUCAACAUAGCUAUUAGACAAUGACAAAAGCUCGUAAUAAAUAGACUCACACAACGGAAGGGCGAAACUGUUUAGCUGGCAGUCCUGCGCUUUAUCAACUCAUAGUCCAUCAUCAUCUCAUUUAAUCGAAUCCUAAUUUAUAUUAAAAAAGUAUAGAUAUUAUAUUUUAAAUUUUAUAAAAAGAGAUAGAAAAAGAUAUUAACGAGAUAGUUUUUGAUAGUGGGAUUAUAAAGAAAACGAGGAUAAUAAGAAAGAAAAAGAAAAAGAAAAAGAAGAAGAUAACCACAACAUGAAAAAACUGUUUUGCUUCACGCUACUGUACUACCUGCCGCGUUAGUACUUGAGAGGGAGUUAGUGCGUGCGUCAAAAGUUCCAUCGCGUCAAACAAAUUGAUUUAAAGUUGUUUCUCUCGGACCUAUAUAUACAGCAUCGAUGGCAUGGCUGCUCAAGCAACUCCAAUCACCGCUCUUGUUCUUCUCAAUACCCGAAUGGAGAUCAAACGGCGUAGCUCCGUAAUUGGGUCCUGCAGCUUUCUCCUUGUUUUGCUCCUGUCUGGCGUGGGCUUCUCGGCUUCCCAACCUGAGACUGCCGCCGCCGAGGCCACCACUGACCGCCUCGCCCUCCUCUCCUUCAAGGCCCUCAUCUCCGACGAUCCAUCCCGAGCGCUGGAAUCCUGGAACACUACGUCCCUCCAUUUUUGCCGGUGGCGAGGCGUGACGUGCGGCAACCACAGUGGCCAGCUGAGGGUCACCACACUGGAACUGGAGUCCCUCGCCUUGGCCGGUAAGAUAUCUCCAUCCAUAGCCAAUCUCACCUUCCUCCAGAGGCUGCACCUCCCACAGAACCAACUUCAGGGUCCCGUUCCACAAGAGCUCGGCCUGCUGUCCCGCCUUCAGCAUCUCAACCUUAGUUACAACAGCUUUCGCGGCACUGUUCCGACGACAAUAGCGAACCUCUCCUCCCUUAUCCUGCUUGAUCUGUCCUAUAAUCAACUUGUAGGAGCCAUCCCACACAACCUCAGCUCAGAACUACAGUAUAUAAAUCUGUCAAAUAAUACCCUCGUAGGUGGGAUUCCCGAUAAUCUUCGCUCCUUGUCAAAGCUGAAGCUGCUCGCCCUGAGCGGCAACAACCUCACCGGAAACAUUCCUCCAGAAAUCGGGAGCCUUGUAAAUUUGACUGUCCUCGAUUUGUCUAUCAACAAUCUUGAAGAAUCUAUUCCUCUAGAGAUUGGAAAUCUUAUCAGCCUUAAAGCGGUUUACCUGGAUUACAAUAAAUUCACCGGCGUUAUUCCUGGCUCGAUAGGGAACCUGACUUCCCUUGUUUGGCUUCAGCUCUCGCAAAAUCAACUUACCGGAGCCAUCCCUCGCAGCCUCAGCCAUUGCUCAGAACUACAAUAUAUUUUCCUGGGAAAUAAUAUGCUUGAAGGGGAGAUUCCCAGCGAUAUUAGUUCCUUGUCAAACCUGAAAGUGCUCUACCUGUGGAACAACCGCCUCACAGGAAGCAUUCCUCCAGAAAUCGGGAACCUUACGAAUUUGACGAAUCUCAAUUUGUAUAGCAACAGACUUGAAGGCUCUGUUCCGCGGGAGAUUGGGAAUCUUGUCGGACUAAGAGAAGUUCUUUUACAUGACAACCAACUCACCGGAAGUAUACCAUCUGAGAUUGGAAACCUCGUGAAUCUACGUACUCUUGCUUUGUUGAUUAAUGGCUUUGUGGGUACAGUUCCACCAGCAAUUGGAAACCUCACUUCUCUCACUUAUCUUGGAGUGUCAAUGAAUAAUCUUGGAGGAAUCAUCCCGCCUUCCAUUUGGAACCUCUCCUCUCUCAGAACACUAGAGCUCCAGAGCAACCAAUUUACCGGGUCUAUUCCGCCGGAUAUGGGAAUCACUCUUCCCCUUCUUGAAGAACUAGACAUCAACGACAACCAGUUUUACGGGCCUCUUCCGAUUUCACUGUCGAAUGCUACCAACCUCAACAACAUUCAACUAUACGAGAACAGAUUCACAGGCACCAUACCGAGAGGUUUGGGAUCCUUGCAGCAGUUAUUUCACUUUGAUGUUACUUAUAAUCAGCUAGAAGCAAGAAACGCAGCCGAGUGGGGCUUUUUGGAUGAUUUAG
rnacentral:lncRNA from 1 species